UGGCAUCAAAUGCAUGUAGCGGGCGCCAGACAACUCGCCCCAAUACCAAAUUGCCCCAAAACAAACUCGCACCAAACAUAUGGUCACUCGCUCCAACCAAGAGACAACUCGCCCCAAUUUAUUUUCGUGCAUCUUAUUGUUUCUUUAUUUAAAGUAUUUUAUCUUUAUAUUCUUUGUUAAUUUAGCAAAGCACAUAUAUAUUUUGAUAAAUGUGUAUUUCAACAGUACAUUGUAUUUUGAAUAAAUCAAAUACAGGUCAUCUAAAAUGCAUGUAUCAUUAUAUUUGUAAAAGCCAAGAAUAUUCUGGAUAUUCCUCUUUUUUCAAUUGUUUUGAAUAUCCUCAAGAUUUUAUUUCCUGAAUGUUGAAGAAAACUUAUUAGAUAAUAAUUCCACAUAUUUACAACUCACCUUUUUAAUAGAGACCAUAAAUAGUUUUAAAAAGUCAGUGGUUAAAAUUGUGUAUUUACUUUUUCAAUAGGAUACAACCAUAAUUAAACCAAGAAGUUUAUGAAGAAGGGAUCACUGGAUUUUGUCACUUUGGUACAAGAAACAGAAAGGAUAUCAUAGACCACCUUACUUAUACAGAAGCAUAGGAGCUGUUGAAGGAAAUUGCUGCCAGACAGUCAGCAGUUAUCACUGACAGCCUGUCCUGGCCCAGCUUGGACCAUCCUAAAGCUAACCAUGAUGGUGUGUUUGCAAGAAUUGUCCAUUUGGUAGACCAUGAUGAAGACCAGCUUUAUUGUGGCAUGGCCUGACAAUACUGUACAAGCCAGAGACCAAAAAAGGGUUGAGUGGUGACUGAUCCUCUCACCCUCGUUAUCCAGGAAACGUUUCGGAACAACGUGUUGGCACUGAAGAUGUGGAGGACACAGAUUUAUCACAGUACAUCCUUUGGAUACAUGGACACCUUCAACGGGACGACAACAAAACUGUACCUGCCUUUUUUUGGACAGGAAGUAGUUAAUAAAAUUAUUGUUAACAGCUUUUUUAGUCUUGUUGUUUAAGGAUGCUUGCAACAUUUAAGUGGAUAAAUGGUUGUUUUAAAUUUGAAUCUUCAGUAAUGCAUUCUUUAUUAAAUGAUGUAAUCUUAUUUCUUUCAAUAUAGUGUAAAUAAUAAGAACAUAAUUAUCCUUUGUAUACAAAAUGAAAACGAAGUUUACUGUUCUAUUAAUCAUUAUUUAUUUAUCUUGUUCUUUUGUCAGAAAUAUUACAGGGGCAUACAUACAGUAUUCCUUAAAUAAAAGGGGCAUUUCUUAGAAAAUUAACAUGUAUUUAAGCAAUGCAUAUUCAAACUUUUUCCACAUUUAUAACCAGCAACAAUAUGUAAGUAUUAUAAUGUAACACAAAUUAAUACUUUGAAUUUACUACUGAUUUUGCUGUGCCUGUGAGUCGGUCAUCAAAUAAACAUGUUUUACUGAAAGUUUGUUAAAAGAUGUUAUGUGGAAGACUUAAUCAAUCAUUUAAUAAAUAUUUGAGUCUUGCUCAGGGAAAAGGGGGUUUAAUGCAUGUACUCAAUAUUGUCCAAGAUUAGGCUGUGCAGACUGCACAGGCUAAUCAGGGGUAACACUUUCCGCCUUAUCUGGAUUUUCUCUAAGAGACUCCCUUUCAACAAAAAAUACAAUAAAGCAGCAAUUGUCUGCCUGAUUGGUAUGAUCAGCACAGGUUAAUCUUGUACGACAAUUUACGCACAUGCAUUAAGCCCCAUUUUCCUAGGGCAAGGCUCACCUAUUUAGGUUUUAGUUGUCUAUAUGCUCUUUAACUUUUUAAUCAUGAUGCAGUUUCAUAUAAUAAUGUAUUAUGAGACGUUUUUAAUUGAUGCAUAUUCUUUUGUUCAGUGUUGAACUAAUCAUGUAUUAUAAUAAGGUGUUCACUUAACAUUCUUGCAGUAAUGUUUUGCUGUGUAAUAUACAUGUAAUAAUAAAUCAAAAUUGAACAACUAGCUUCUUAUUUCUUCAUGUUAUUUAUUAAAACAUUUUAAACCAGAACAACAAAAUCCAUAACAUAAU